AUUGAACGCUGGCGGCAGGCCUAACACAUGCAAGUCGAACGAGUGGCGGACGGGUGAGUAAUGUCUGGGAAACUGCCCGAUGGAGGGGGAUAACUACUGGAAACGGUAGCUAAUACCGCAUACCAUCGGAUGUGCCCAGAUGGGAUUAGCUUGUAGGUGAGGUAACGGCUCACCUAGGCGACGAUCCCUAGCUGGUCUGAGAGGAUGACCAGCAACGCUGGAGCGGAGACACGGUCCAGAUGCCUACGGGAGGCGGCAGUGGGGAAUAUUGCACAAGGGGCGAAAGUCUGAGGCAGCCAUGCGGCGUGUAUGAAGAAGGCCUUCGGGUUGUAAAGUACUUUCAGCGGGGAGGCGUUACCCGCAGAAGAAGCACCGGCUAACUCCGUGCCAGCAGCCGCGGUAAUAC
rnacentral:rRNA from 1 species